UACGCAAUCCUGACACAGGGAGGUAGUGACAAUAAAUAACAAUACAGAGCCCUAGUGGUUUUGUAAUUGGAAUGAGUACAAUUUAAAUCCCUUAACGAGGAACAAUUGGAGGGCAAGUCUGGUGCCAGCAGCCGCGGUAAUUCCAGCUCCAAUAGCGUAUAUUAAAGUUGUUGCAGUUAAAAAGCUCGUAGUUGGAUUUUGGUAUGGAUGCGGUGGUCCGCCGAUUGGUGAGUACUGCCGUGUGCAUGCCCCCUCUCAUAGACCUGCGGUGGUCUUAACUGGCUGCUGUAUGGGAUAUGGGAUUUUUACUUUGAAAAAAUUAGAGUGUUCAAAGCAGGCCUUUGCUUGAAUACAUUAGCAUGGAAUAAUGAAAUAGGACCUCGGUUUUAUUUUGUUGGUUUCUAAAACCGAAGUAAUGAUUAAUAGGGAUAGUUGGGGGCAUUAGUAUUUAAUUGUCAGAGGUGAAAUUCUUGGAUUUAUGAAAGACUAACUUCUGCGAAAGCAUUUGCCAAGGAUGUUUUCAUUAAUCAAGAACGAAAGUUAGGGGAUCGAAGACGAUUAGAUACCGUCGUAGUCUUAACCAUAAACUAUGCCGACUAGGGAUCGGGGGGACGCGUUUCGCGCUCCUCGGCACCUUAUGAGAAAUCAAAGUUUUUGGGUUCCGGGGGGAGUAUGGUCGCAAGGCUGAAACUUAAAGGAAUUGACGGAAGGGCACCACCAGGGGUGGAGCCUGCGGCUUAAUUUGA
rnacentral:rRNA from 1 species